UUCCAGUGAGCCGAGAUGGUGCCACUGCACUCCAGCCUGGGCAACAGAGUGAGACUCAGUCUCAAAAUAAAAAAAAAAAAUUAACAGAAAAGUAUGUGUUAAUGUUUGUAUGUGCCCUAGUGUAGAAAAGUAAAAUGUACUGGGAAAUUAACAAGACAGUUUAUUGUUUUUGAGGUUUUUUUACAGAUAUAUAGCAAUUACUGUCUCAUAAUUUACAUUUUUAUAUGCAAACAUACUUCUGGGAUUCCUUUUGGCUUUUAUUUUCUUACCUCUCUACAGUCUACUAUCCCAAUCUGGUUAAAAAUGAGAAAUAAUUUUUCAUAUCUUAUAUUUUUAUGUCUUGUCAAACAACACUUGCUUACCCCACAAAGUGUCAAGAAGCAUGUUUUUUUUUAAUUACAUAAAAGGGUGAAACUAUUCAACCAAAUAAUGAAAACACUAGUAGAUUUGGCAUGGUUUUUUUUUUUUUCUUUCCCACUAUGGCACAAGUAAUGUUUAAAUGUUUAUAUUUGAACUCAAAGAAAUUUUGCCCUCAAUUAACAAACCCAACUGAGCAAAGUAUUUUUAGACCAGAUAGGGUAUGGGCAGUAGAAAUACGGAAUCUUUUAUUAUUUUUCCUUUGGCGGGUAGGGAGGAGGUUGGGGAAAUAUCUCAAGGAUAAAAUGCUCUAGGUCUUUUACCCAUGUGUGCCAGUGGACCCCAGCUGAAGUCAGGACUAACAUUACUGCUGGGUAAAUGAAUGUACUAGUCUUUUGUUAUGAAUGUGAAACUACUGGACUGUUCAUUCAAAACAAGGUUGCAUAAACCCAUAUCAACAGAAACAGAAGAAACCCUGGCUACACACAUAAGACUUUCUGGACAAUGCACUGUAUGAUGGAAAGAACAACAAAAUAAAAGUCAGAAUCCUGAUGGCCCUUAGUCAUUUUUAACUGGUGUUAGGCAUAUCACUUAAAGCCACUGAGUUUCAGUUGGACUCAUUUGCAAAGUAUGGAAGUUUUACUGUAUUGUCUGUUGAAGCCUCUGUGUACUCUAAAACUCCAUGAUUCUUUGUGUCUCAUAUGAGUCAUUUUUAGUUCAGAAAGGUAGAAUAAUAGAGAAUUGGUUUGUAACAGCUUGGCAACCAACUGUCAAUAACUGGAAUCAAUAAAAGCAACUAUUUCAAAAGAUCAGAUUACCAGUUGCACUAAUAAAGAUUUAUUACUUUAAACCUUUAUCAUAAAAUGUAUGCUUUGAAUACUGUAAAGUACACUGCAUAUAAGGAGUUUGGUAUACUAUAAAGAAACUUUUUCUGCAGGUAGUAAUUAUAGUGAAGAUUUUAGGUUUACAAAGCCCUAGCUGUUUUCUGUGUAGCUGUUGUUAUUCUUAUGACUCUUGAAAAGUUUGUAGCUUCACCAUAUACAUUUAAUAUUUUGCAAUAAUUGGCCUUGUUCCUGAGCUGUUGGAUUCGGGGCCGUAGCACUGUCUGAGAGGUUUACAUUUCUCACAGUGAACCGGUCUCUUUUUCAGCUGCUUCCUGGCUUCUUUUUACUCAGGUUUCCACUGCUUUUUUGCUUUUUUUUAAUGCUGUAUGAAGGUGUUAACAUUUGUUUAUAUUUUUCAUUAAUUGUAAUACCUUUAAAUCAUGCAUCAUACUCAGAAAUAGGGAUUUGAAUUUAAGUGACAGCUUUGGCCUAAUGUAAUUUACCUAUUAAAAAUUUGUGAGAGCUAUUGCUUAUUUCUUUUCCAAAGUAAGAUUUGGAUGGCAAAUUCAGUUUGGUUUUGAGCUUAUAUAAAAAGCUUAAUGUUUUAAGCAUACCAAACUCAUUAGCAGAAGUCAAGUAUAUCUCUCCCUAUUGCUACACAACUUUUUAGGGAUAUUGUUAUAUAUGAAAGCAUGACAUCAGACAGACCUAAUACACCUAAAUGCAUUUGAAGCUACUUGGGCUCAGCUCUUACCAACGAUAUAAUUUAAUUUUUUUCCCCAAACAAUGAUGUUGUUGCAUAUCUUUGGGAAGCAAAAUGAUUCUGUGAAACUAUACUUUUAGUUUUGCAACCAUUUGAUAACUUCAAAGAUUAUCAUUGCAUUAUAUCCUUAGUCUUAGCUUUCCAGAUAACCCAGAAUCAUAUGGUUCCAAGUUGAUUAAGCUUUGUUACCAGCAGACUAUGGUAGGAUCCUGAUGAACGACACUGUGGAAGAAACUUGUUAGGAUAAACAGUCUUCAGUGUGUGCAGAUUGUUGACAGAAUUUCAAGGCACAAAUUUAAGAGUAAUGAGUGUGUAAAAGGCAAGCAGGAAAAUCAGCACUACUGGGUAAGCAGAUGAGGGGGCUUAUUGAUAGGAGAGUCAGCUAUGUCAAAUAGGGACUCUAGGCGCAAAGUCAAUUUCUUUAUUGACAACUUUCAAUCCAAGUACUAGGAAUUUUGUAUUUGUAAAUUACUAGGUAGUGGCUCUGGCUAUUCUUGUUUUUUCAUUGAAUCUGUGAGCAUUUCUUAGUAUGUAUUGUGUGAUUCAGCAUAGAUUCAGACAUUGUAUAAUACCUACAAAUCCACCUAUUUCCCUUUUCCCUUCUCCAUUAACCUGCCGCCACUGAAAUCUGGAGCCAAAUAUAUCUGAUCAUUGGAUUUUUCUUUCUCAUACUUGGCAGUCUUCAAACUAUACUUUUGACACUAUCAGAACUCUGUACCACUCUUGUUUUUGUCUGAAUAAUUAGACAAGGAACCUAAACUACAAUGCCACUUCUCUAGGUGUCACUCUGUAACGGUUCAUGCCCAGCAGUCUGAAAUUUCUUUGUUUAAACGAAAGUUCAGAGGAAUUCAUGAGCAACUUGAACAGUUCAAGAUGUAAAUUUUAUUAAGCAAAUGUACAUAAUGUGAGGCAUACCUGUAAUUAAAUGAUCCUUUAUUUUAAUGUUAACAAUUAUUUUAUUAAUGGUUUUGUCUUACAUAGGCAAAAGUAAGAUUCUUAUCUUUGAUUGGAUUAGGUGAAUGAUGUGGGGUUUUUUGUUUUUAGUGCUUUCCAGCUGAGUAUUUCUAGUUUUGCUUGUGAUUAUAGUAAUUUUAACCAAUAUAGAUCCCAGUUUUAUUUUCUUUUUAAUUAGAACAAAUGCCAGUCUGUGAUGCCUGUUGAGUACUUUUCUGCUGAGCACUGCAUUAGAAAAAGACCAAUAAUCUUUUAGUAAUCUUUAAUGUUCUGCUCUUUAGAGAAUAUAAUUCAAAAUUAUAUACUUUUUAGCCAGUUACUAUGUUGUAUGUUUGUUAUAAUUAUUAGAAUGAGUGAUAAAACAAUUCAUCAUGACUUCUGGAAAAACCGUUCAGAUACCUGUCCUACUGCCAGUAGAAUUUCCCUCCUGGGGUACCGAUCAUACUGAGCAUCAGAUGUUAAAUGACAAUUUUAGUUGUGAUAGUUUAGAACGGUUCCUCAGACCCUGAUGGCUUUCUACCCAGUGUAGUUUAAACCUGGUGGGUUUUCCUGCUUUUUAUGUAAAAAUGAAAUGCUACUCAGUGGAUGGAAAAAAGCCAUUGCUUCACAGAACUUCAAGACUUCACCCAUAAAACGUAGCAGCCCUCCUUGCACAAAAUUUGUCCAGGUUAAAGCUGGCAUUGCCCUGCUGAGUAAAGUCUGACUUCUUGGCAAAGCAGCCUGACUUUGUGGAGAAGACAGCCAGUAUCUAUGAAAACUCUGCUAAACAAAUCUUCUAUAGACUCAUCUGGAAUGUGGCAACAGACAUUUUGAGCAAAAGCAGCCUUCGAGGCAAAACAGCAAAACUAAAGUCCAAAGGGAACAUUGGCAAUUCACAUGGAAAUACUCAGGCUGAGAGACAGAACUGUGGGAUGUGGAACCUGAAAUAGUGUCACCAUUUGAGCCAGUUCUGCUCCUUCCCAAUUGUCUUUUGUUAUGUUUUAAUAUUUUAGAGACAGAGUCUCACUGUUUUGCCUACACUGGAGUGCAGUGGCCCUUCCUAAUUGUUUAAUACAAUUUAUGCAUAUAAUCUAAUUAUAGCAAGGCAAGGAAGUGUAACUUUGAAAUACAUAAAUAGUAAACCUCGCAUCUUGGGGGUAGUGGGCAAACCAAGGGAAGGACUGUUCCUCCCACAGAGAGAACAUUAUGGGCUAGUCAUAUACUCAUUUACACGUGCUCUUUUUUAAAGCCCCCAAGUUCAUAUGGCUGCCAUCUGGACUAACUACUCAAAAAUUUUCACUCUGAUUCCUAUUUUGAAUAACAAUGCUUAUACUCACCAAUAAAUCUUUAGUUCAAAUGAACAAAAAGUUUCCUUGUUGAUUGACAUUAUUUCCAGCAAUUAUCUGUUUUCCUGUAAUUAAGUUUAUCUUGAGACUUAGGUAUGUUAAGCUACAGUAAAAUCUUCAUUAACCAAAAUUAUCAGAAAAUGAAACAAGGCCGGGUUCUGCUUAUUUGAACAACAUUACUAUAAUACUUUUUUCUUCUUCAACAUGUGUUCCUCAAAAAAGUAAAUUUUAGAAUCAGACAGCUGUGUGCAACUCCCAGCUACACACUUGAUAGCUAUUGACCAUAAACAAGGUAUGAACCUCUCUGUGCCUUUUGUUUC